rfam:Asian citrus Psyllid, Diaphorina citri - Florida Strain, whole genome shotgun sequence.
GCCUCGGUGGCGUAGUGGUCAAGACGCUCGCCUGGUAAUCAGGAGGGCGUGGGUUCGAUCCCAGCCGAGGUA